rnacentral:rRNA from 1 species
UACAGAGGGGGCAAGCGUUGUUCGGAAUUACUGGGCGUAAAGGGCGCGUAGGCGGCCUGUUAAGUCGAACGUGAAAUCCCCGGGCUCAACCCGGGAACUGCGUCCGAUACUGGAAGGCUUGAAUCCGGGAGAGGGAUGCGGAAUUCCAGGUGUAGCGGUGAAAUGCGUAGAUAUCUGGAGGAACACCGGUGGCGAAGGCGGCAUUCUGGACCGAUAUUGACGCUGAGGAGCGAAAGCCAGGGGAGCAAACGGG